UACGUAGGGGGCAAGCGUUAUCCGGAUUUACUGGGUGUAAAGGGAGCGUAGACGGCAGUGCAAGCCAGAAGUGAAAGCCCGGGGCUCAACCGCGGGACUGCUUUUGGAACUGCACGGCUGGAGUACAGGAGAGGUAAGCGGAAUUCCUAGUGUAGCGGUGAAAUGCGUAGAUAUUAGGAGGAACACCAGUGGCGAAGGCGGCUUACUGGACUGAGACUGACGUUGAGGCUCGAAAGCGUGGGGAGCAA
rnacentral:rRNA from 1 species